rnacentral:rRNA from 1 species
GGGUUGUGAGGUUAAGCGAAUAAGCGUACACGGUGGAUGCCUAGGCAAUCAGAGGCGAUGAAGGACGUGCUAAUCUGCGAAAAGCGUCGGUAAGGUGAUAUGAACCGUUAUACCCGACGAUAUCCGAAUGGGGAAACCCAGUAUCCAAUGGAUACUAUCAUUAACUGAAUCCAUAGGUUAAUGAGGCGAACCGGGAGAACUGAAACAUCUCAGUACCCCGAGGAAAAGAAAUCAACCGAGAUUCCCCUAGUAGCGGCGAGCGAACGGGGAGCAGCCCAGAGUCUUAAUCAAUAGCAGUGUCAGGAGAACGGUCUGGAAAGUCCGGCAGUAAAGGGUGAUAGC